rnacentral:rRNA from 1 species
UACGGAGGAUGCAAGCGUUAUCCGGAAUGAUUGGGCGUAAAGCGUCCGCAGGUGGCUGUGUAAGUCUGCUGUUAAAGAGUCAUGCUCAACAUGAUAAGAGCAGUGGAAACUACACGGCUAGAGUGCGUUCGGGGCAGAGGGAAUUCCAGGUGUAGCGGUGAAAUGCGUAGAUAUCUGGAGGAACACCGGUGGCGAAGGCGGCAUCCUGGACCGGCACUGACGCUGAUGAGCGAAAGCCAGGGGAGCAAACGGG